GUAGCUANCCGUGACUUUCUAAGUAAUUACCGUCAAAUAAAGGCCAGUUACUACCUCUAUCUUUCUUCACUACCAACAGAGCUUUACGAGCCGAAACCCUUCUUCACUCACGCGGCGUUGCUCCAUCAGACUUGCGUCCAUUGUGGAAGAUUCCCUACUGCUGCCUCCCGUAGGAGUAGGGG
rnacentral:rRNA from 1 species